UGAGCCUAGCACCUGAUCAGUGGAGAGCUGUGGAUUGCAUGUUUGUUUGCCAUUGCCCCCGCCACCCUGCAAGUUGCACCUUCUAGAAUCAGCAAGCCAAGCUCCUCUCACCCAGCGUAAUGAUGCGGAAAUGCAAAUGCACCAUCAUGUUGUGACCCAUAUUGCGAAAAUUAGAAAAAAGGAAGUUGUGUUUCGCUAUUGCACGAAGUUCAGCCCAGAGGAGAAACUCGCUCGCCUUCAGAAGACAGUACCUCCUAAAUGGCUCUACUUUGAACCUGCUGGGCAAGGAAGAGAUUUUCAAGGAAACCAUAUACCGUGUGCGAGCUCCUGCCGGCCAACCCCAGACCCCAGCACGGAGCCAGGCGCCUGUGCCCGCCGACCCUCAGCACCCUCCUCAGAAAGGCUGGUGGCAUCAGGAAGCCCCUGGCCAGCCUCCACCUGAGCCCAGUGAGCUCAGCUUUAAGGAUGGAGUCAGGCAGGGGGUCCUCAACCCCUCCAGGACCCAUUGCUGCCCUAGGGAUGCCAGACACUGGGCCUGGCAGUUCCUCCCUAGGGAAGCUUCAGGCGCUCCCUGUUGGGCCCAGAGCCCACUGUGGGGACCCUGUCAGCCUGGCUGCAGCAGGGGAUGGCUCUCCAGACACAGGCCCCACGGGAGAGCUGAGUGGUAGCUUAAAGAUCCCCAACCGGGACAGCGGGAUUGACAGUCCAUCCUCCAGUGUGGCUGGAGAGAACUUUCCCUGCGAGGAGGGCUUGGAGGCUGGCCCAAGCCCCACUGUACUGGGGGCGCACGCAGAGAUGGCCCUGGACAGCCAGGUCCCAAAGGUCACCCCCCAGGAGGAGGCGGACAGCGACGUGGGUGAGGAACCUGACUCUGAGAACACCCCCCAGAAGGCUGACAAGGAUGCCGGCCUGGCCCAG
rnacentral:sRNA from 1 species